AGUGUACUGAGGCUCCCUCUAAGCCUAAGCCGUACUCUUCUGUUUCUCUCUCUUUUGGGAUAAGCGGAGGCCACAGUGUACACGUCUGAAUUGUGAAUUGUAGUCUGGAGAAGCGUACUUAGCGGCGGACCGGAAUCAAUUACCAGAUCUGAUGUGACGCGGUGGGUUUAUCUUAUCGGCCAUCCGUUCUACAUCAAGAUGAUAGAGAGUUUGGAGAGAUCAACUAUGGAUUCCGGAAGCCUUAUGAAUCUUCUGCCGAACAGUCAGAUCAGAUCAGGCCAAUCCAAUCUAUUGCACUCAUAUUUCGUUAUCCAAUCUAAUCGUGCGUGCCAAGCUCGGCCUUUGUUUUCUGGUAUUUGGUACAGAGAGUUGAAUUGAAGGGAUCAGACGGAGGACGGAGAAUAAAUUGAUUUGACGGAGAGAGAGGCGGGUAAGGAUUGUCCAGUUUGGGUGGAAUUUGUAUGGAAGACGCGGAGCUCUUUGUAUCAAAACAGAAGUAGAGCUGCUAUAGAUGAAUCAAUAAAGGAGGGGCGCUUGAACGUAGUUUGCGAGAGAUUGCAUUAUUCCGUGAGAUUGAUAAGAAGCAGAGCUCUACGCAACCCUUAUUUUCGAGUAGCAGACGUCUUUCACAGACAGUCAGAAAGAUGAUACACAGGACAGAGAACAACCCUUGAUCAGACCUGAUUUGACAAAGAGAGAGAGUCGAUGAUGGUGGAUGCACUACUAGAAAAAGGGCCAAAGACCACAGAUCGCCACUGUUAGCCUGUUAUAUGUCUUGGCAUGGGUGUGGGCUUUUCAUCAACAAAGGACAAGGAGAUUAAAAGUAAUCUGACCUCUACUUACAGUUUGGGUCUUCUGUCAUGAUGAGCUUGCUAAAUGAUAUGGAGAUACUACGAGAUUGUGUAGGCUGAUCACCUGCUCUUCGUUAUGAAUUGGGAGAGCUGGAAUUCAGUUGGUUCUGAUUAUGAAAGGCACUUAGUAAUUUCAAGUGAAGAAGAUAACUUGCUCGUGCACUUGCCAUGUCUUUUUGUGAUCCAAAGUCCAACACUAACGAAGCUGGUACAAUGGAAUGCACAAGAAUAUGUGCAGUUAUACUUUGUCCUGUUUAGGAGUUGUUAUCUACAUGCACAAAGCUUCUACAUAUGACGGAACAUCUAGCUUUUCCAGUGCGAGACCUUCUUGGUGAUGAUACGCUCAAUUGGAAACAAGACCUUGCUGUAUUGGAUAAUUCUGAAGCUUCUGACAAGGAGUUUAGCGAUGUAUGCUUCAUCUGCUCAUGUCGUACUUCGGAAAUGUGCUGAAACUAUUAGUUGCAGGCCCCUUAAUCAAAAGGAUUCUACUGCUGUAUGCACUGGUGGAAUAUUUAACCAUGUUCUUCAGAAGUUUAUUCCCGAUUCAUGAUGUGCCAAGAAGGGGGAAAAGAAAAAAAGAUUAGACUUGGUAGCACAAGUUAGCAAGGAGGGGAAGCUUGUGACAUUGCCUUACAAUGCUGCCAUGCAUGUCUCCCUCAAAGUGCUUGAACAUGAGAUUUUCACUGUGGGUCGCAUCUGGGUUUUGGCACCUGGUGUGAUUUCACUCCUGUGGGACUUGUGGACUCAUGUAAUGGUUUCUGACCAACUGAAAUUAAAAUACAAGAUUUCUGCUUAAGUUGUGUUCUGGCUGCACCAGCAUCUACUGGUUCAUACAUCUCCGCCAAAGCCUCUGGUACUUCUAUAGAUGGUGGAUCAUGGUUGCUUUCUGAAGAUCUGGCCAAGAUGCUAUUCCAAGCAAAGAAUAUGGUACCAUCAAGUUUAUAAGAGGCUUGGAACAGUUAAGUGGGUCGUCAUCAUAAGUCCAAAAUGGGGAUUUGAUACAUUGAAGGCCAAUUGAGUUUGGUAGCUUUUCAACCCAAGACCUGUUAUCAAAAGCUUGGCCACUACAAAAUUUGUUUAUGGAAAGGUCAAAGUCAGUAGUGCCAUGCUUGAAGAGGAAAGAAAGGCCAUGGAGACUGAGCUUGUUAAGGUUUGUAGCGGGUUAAAGUUACUACUCUACUGAGAUCAAAUUAUUUGAUAGGCUCCAAAGAUUAAUAUAGGAUGGUAUCAAGUUCCUAAAGUAUGCAAGGAAAGUGAGUAGUUUUAAAUUGUUGAGGAUUUCUCAUGAGAGCUGAUAUCACCAGUGAGAGUGCUUUUGGAAUGUUAAGCAACGAAGCUUCUUAGAUUUCCCACGAUACCAGGUGGAGGCUAGAGCCUAGAGGGGGUGCAUUCUCUUUACAUUUCCUUUCCUUCAAAAGAAAUGUCGUGGCUUUUUAUUAUUUUAAUUUUUUUUAUGUGUAAUCCUGGUUUAAUUGUGGUAAUUUUCGGGAAGUUAGAAGUGUAAUAAUUAGAAAAUGUAAUUUGUUAAGUGCGUUUAUUUUGUUAAUAAUGGCUUCUUGCCUUAUUUUUCUA